GAUCAUGGCUCAGAUUGAACGCUGGCGGCAUGCCUUACACAUGCAAGUCGAACGGUAACGGGCCUUCGGGUGCCGACGAGUGGCGAACGGGUGAGUAAUGUAUCGGAACGUACCUUUCAGUGGGGAUAACGUAGCGAAAGUUACGCUAAUACCGCAUAUUCUGUGAGCAGGAAAGCAGGGGAUCGCAAGACCUUGCGCUGAUUGAGCGGCCGAUAUCAGAUUAGCUAGUUGGUGAGGUAAAGGCUCACCAAGGCGACGAUCUGUAGCGGGUCUGAGAGGAUGAUCCGCCACACUGGAACUGAGACACGGUCCAGACUCCUACGGGAGGCAGCAGUGGGGAAUUUUGGACAAUGGGGGCAACCCUGAUCCAGCCAUGCCGCGUGAGUGAAGAAGGCCUUCGGGUUGUAAAGCUCUUUCGGCCGGGAAGAAAUCGUAUGGGUUAAUACCCUGUGCGGAUGACGGUACCGGCAUAAGAAGCACCGGCUAACUACGUG
rnacentral:rRNA from 1 species